AAGCCGCAGCCCAGGGCUGCUCGCCGCUGUUCCCCCCGCCCCCUGUUGCAGGAGACACCGAGGCUCCGCGGAGCUGCGGCGGGGGCCCACGCCCAGAGACCGUGCGAGGAAAGCCAACCUCGUCCUGCCUGCCCUCCCAGCCGCGGGGGAGGGGGCCACCGCAGUACUUCAGGACAGUUACAUGGGCACAGCCUCCUCCGUCCUGGCGCAGGGUCAGGCUCCGCGGACGACGCCUGGAGACAGCUGCCAAUGCCAAUAGCUUUAGCCCUUUAUUCCCACUUAGAUGAUGGCCUGGCCUCUCCAGACCCCUCUCCCCUCCCAGACAUCCCCUGUGAGAAAGGAGGGAGAGGGUGUUCCUGACCUUCAGGAAACCUGCCAAUCUCUUAUACCCAUCUUACAGAAGAUAAGGAAGAGACAACUGGUUAUGAACUAAGUCAAAGCCUCAGGUAAAGUACAAGUUCUUCUAGAUAGGGGAAUUGAGCAUGCAGAUCCUAAAAUUCCUAGAGAACACCGCAGGAUGCCUGCUGCACCAUUUGCCGCACCGUUCUGAAAACCGACAUUUGUUCAGGUACAUUGAUCAGGAAAGGGAACAUUUGCACAUUUAUUGAGAGGAAAUUAAAUGGCAAGUAUUGUUAUGUGACUGGAAUGUAACAUUCCAUACUCUACCUGGUAACUUCCAAGGCUUUAUUUUGGGGGGUGGGGAGAACGAAGGACUUACUACCCUCUGUGGCUUCCUUAUGGUCACAUGAGGCAAAUCCUUUAUGAGAAGCACCAGGCUUCUAAAAGACUAGUGAUCGGCUGCAUGACAUGUCCAAUGAGAAAUUUUAAUUUUCUCAUAUGAUUCAUAGUUGUAAUUAUUUAUUUAUUUAUUUAUUUAUUUAUUUAUUUAUUUAUUUAUUUAUUUAUUUUGAGAUGGAGUCUCGCUCUGUCGCCCAGGCUGGAGUGCAGUGGCGCGAUCGCGGCUCACUGCAAGCUCCGCCUCCCAGGUUCACGCCAUUCUCCUGCCUCAGCCUCCCGAGUAGCUGGGACUACAGGCGCCCGCCACUACGCCCGGCUAAUGUCUUGUAUUUUCAGUAGAGACGGGGUUUCACCGUAUUAGCCAGGAUGGUCAAGAUCUCCUGACCUCGUGAUCCGCCCGCCUCGGCCUCCCAAAGUGCUGGGAUUAUAGGCGUGAGCCACCGCGCCUGGCCAGUUGUAAUUAAUUUUUUAAAUUUGCUUCAUUUCUCAGCCUGGAGCAUCCUUUUGGUGCCAGAAAGUAAAGAAAUGCUUUAAAAAGGGGACAGGGGGAUAUAGAAAGGACACAGGAGACAGCCUGAAAGAGCUCCUAAUGGCCAAGAUUGAAGAAUUUGAACAAAAAUAUGAAAUGAAGGUAUUGGAUUAUAACACAAGGAAUCUAGUAAAUACCCAUGAGUCCAUACUCCUAAAAAUAAAUGAACCAAAAAAUAAAAGGAGGAAAAGAAACAACUCUUCCUUAUAGACUAAUUCCAAUUAAUAGUUGUAGUAUGAAUGAAGAAAAUAGAAAAAUCACCAUUAGAAAACCACAGUAAUAAUUGCUACAGAGAAGAUCCACUGAUGAAUGCUAACGUUAGUGGUUGGAAAUUUAAGCUGCAUAGUUUCAAAGUUUCUCCCCGCAAAUACUUAUUAUCGCAAAGGGAAACAUGUUAACAGUACAGUAGAGAAAGCCAGUAGACGCCACCUUAACCAAGUGAUCAACACUAACAUCAUCAGUAACAAGACACAUAGAUAUCAUGUGCCCCCGAUAUGACAGAGGGCACGUUACCACUGUAGAUUCUUUCCCAAGAUGCAUACCCUCAAUCUAACCAUGGGGAAACAUGAGACAAAUCCAAAUUAAGGGACAUUCUACGAAAUGAUGAGAUACUCUUCAAAAGUGUCAAAGUCAUGAAAGACAGGUGAAAACUGAAGAACCGCCAUGGAUGGGAGACCAAGGAGAUCCUAAUGAGUCAACUAGUAUGCAAAGUGGAAUCCCAGAUUGGGUCCUGGAACAGAAAAAGGACAUCAGUGGAAAAAUUGCGAGAUCUGAACAAAGUCUGCAUUUUGUUAAUAGUGUGUUACCAAUGUUGGUUUCAUAGUUUUGGCCAUUGUGCUGUGUAUUUAUAAGAUGCUAACAUUAGGGAUAGCUGAAUGUGGUAUAUAUAGGAACUCUGUGCUGAGUUUAUAACUCCUCUGUAUGUCUAAAACUAUUUCAAAAUAAAAAGUUUAAAGGUAAAAAAAAAGAUUAAAAAAUAUAACUUGCUUUGUUGCUCUGUGUCCACAUUGAGUGGUAACUUGUAGGAUGGUCAGGAGUUAAACAAUGAGAGUAGGGAUCGUAAGUAGCUUAGAAAAGAGAAGCAUUAGUCAUAUGACUUGGUUCCAUUUCUCCCUCAACCAAUUAUGAGCUGUGUGACCUAGAACAAGUUAAAGUUACUUUUCUGUAAGUUUUUUGAUAUUUAUAAAGGGGAUGGGUCAGGGUACCAACCUCGUAAAGCUAGAAAUGAAGGUUAAACAAAAUCAGCUAUCUAAAGAAUGUAAUAGUGCCUGGCGCAUUGUCAGAACCCAAUCAAUGUUAACCAUGGUGGUGGUGAUGAUAUGGAAGUAUUGACAAUGAUGACAGUGAACAUGAACAGCCUGUAUGUGACAGCCACUAGCUCAGACCCUCUCUCUCCACGAAGCCCCUGAGGAUGUCUCAUCCCCCCACACUGCUGCAGAUCCCAUCAGAGCCCUCUGAUACUUUCUCUGUAUUCCCAUCCAGCCUUCUUCGGAUGUUUAUUGAGCACUUACUGCGUGACUUAGUAAUGUACAGUAUUAAGUAGCAGUAACACAGAGAUGAAAUAAAAGUGUGGGUCUCUGCUUUGGAGGGAGAAAUGGACAUGUUUCUUGUCUAGUGGGACAACUGCUACAUGAACCAAUCCUUUCUUUUAAUGCAGGGAAUGCUUUGCUGGAAAUAAGCUCAGGUAGUAUGGGAGCACCUAACCUAGCCUGAGCUGAGUCUUACCAGACGGAUGGGCAGAGGAUGAGGGGAAGGGAUUCCAGACAGAAGGAUCAAAUGGAUUAGAAAAGCCACAGGAUCCUUGA